GAUGGAAGAAAAAGAGGCCUCAAGAUGCUCGUUCUAUGCAAAAGAGACAAAAGGGCAAAUAUUCCCCCUCCCUACAAGUAAAUCCAUGUAUCACCUGAGGGUCUGGUGAGUGGGCACCGCAGGUGUGACAACUGGAGGCCUCGGGGUCUCCCUUCUGUGUGUUUUAGCUCGGAGUCUGGGGUCUGGAAACUGCUCCUUACGACAGUGUGCUUGUCCACAGGAGGCUCCUGAAGAAAUAGCUGGAGGAGGCAAAUGUUAAUCACUGAGAGUAGCCGCCAGGACGACGGAGUCACUCUAUCCUGUGCCCCACUGCCUGUGUCUGGACACACCAACUACCUCAGUGGCUAGCCAGGGCACCAACCUCUGUGUAGUCCUGGAGGAUAGGGGAACAGGAUUAUACACAGCAGCGAUCAAAACUGGUUUAAGAGCCUGCAAGAUGGCUCAGCAGAUAGAGGGAUUGCUGCCAAUGCCUAGUCACUUGUAUUUGAUACCCAGGAUCUUACCUGGUAGGAGAGAACACACUCCAGGAAGCUGUCCUCUGACCAUGUCCACCCAUGCUUCUCUCCUUCCAAACAAUAAACAUAAUGAAGAAUUGUAA